AAGUACGCUGGCGGCAUGCUCACACGAUUACAGUUGAACGGGUUUAAGUCCUAUUAGUCUUAAACAAGUAGCGGACGGGUGAGUAACGCGUAAGAACCUACCUUUAGGUAAGGAAUAACUAUUGGAAACGAUCAGAUAAUACCUUAUAAGCUUAUAGUAAAAGAUAAAAUCGCCUAAGGAUGGGCUUGCGUCUGAUUAGCUUGUUGGUGAUUUAAAAGAUUCACCAAGGCAACGAUCAGUAGUUGGUCUAAGAGGAUGAUCAACCACACUGGGACUGAGACACGGCCCAGACCUCUACGGAGGGCAGCAGUGAGGAAUUUUCCGCAAUGGGCGAAAGCCUGACGGAGCAAUGCCGCCGUGGAGGAUGAAAGCUUGUGAGUCGUAAACUCCUUUUCUUAGUGAACGAAAUAAGACGGUAUCUAAGGAAUAAGCAUCGGCUAACUCCGUGCCAGCAGCCGCAGGUAAUACGGAGGAUGCAAGCGUUAUUCGGAAUUAUUGGGCGUAAAGC
rnacentral:rRNA from 1 species